ensembl:lncRNA uncharacterized LOC111945624
AUGGCCUUUCCUCUGCGCCUCUUCCUCCUGCUCCUCCUGGCAGUGGCCCUGCCUGACAGGGCUGCCCAGGCUUCUCCACAGCGAGCACAGGGAGCAGAUUGGAAUCAUCACAUGGAUUACCUGGAAGUAAUGAAUGAUGGCUUGAAAUUCUUGGAGGAUGUUGGAGCCAAGCCUCUCGGUGAAGGUGAUGCAGCUUCCCAACCCACACCCAGGACUGAGGCUCUGGGAGAUGGUGAGGUUACAGGUGUGUCUGCAGGGAGGACUUUGCCAGCUCCUGGGAUGGUUACUGCACACAAGCCCAGCUCCCAUCACAGGGGUCUUCCAAGAGAGAAAACCCAAAAUACAGCAGAAGAGAAAUCCCUGAAACAAUCUGAAAUUAUACGGCAAAUGCUGAAGGAAAUGCUGCAGGGAGGGCAAGGAAUGAAACGAGAGCCUGUGCAGCAGGAAACAUUCCCUGAAGGAAUCAUUGAUUCUGUGCCUAACUCUGCUGCAGGAAGGGAGGCCAUGCCAGGCACAGUAACACAAGAUAAGUCUCGGGGCAAAGCUUCUCCAAUAGCUUGGCUGCAUAAAGUUGUGAAGCCCUCUGCGCCUCCUGCAGUUACAGGUAUGUCUGCAAGGAGGAUUGUCCCAGCUACAGGGUUGGUUACUGCACCCACGACUGGCUCCCAUCACAGUGGUCCUCCAAGAGAGAAAACCCAAAAUACAGCAGAAGAUAAAGCCCUGAAACGUUCUGAACUUAUAUGGCAAAUGCUGAAGGAAAUGCUGCAGGGAGGGCAAGAAAUGAAACGAGAGCCUGUGCAGCAGGAAACAAUUACUGAAGGAAUCAUUGAUUCUGUGCCAGCCUCUGCUGCAGGAAGGGAGGCCAUGCCAGGCACAGUAACAAAAGAUGAGGUUCCUGGCAAAGCUUCUCCAUUAGCUUGGCUGCAUAAAGUUUUGAAGUCCUCUGCGCCUCCUGCAGGUGUGUCUGCAGAGAGGACUUUCCCAGCUCCUUUGCUGAUUAGUGUGCAGAAGCCCCACUUCCAUCGCAGGGGUCCUCCGAGUGACAAGGACAAACGUAUAGAAGAGAAGGAAUUCCCGGAGUCAAACAACAUCCAGAAACAAAUUGUGGAGGAACUGCAGAAAGGGCCUGACAUGGACAUACAGGUUCUGUGGAAGGCAGCAUUUCCUGCAGGCAGCGGUCACUCGUCGGCAGCCUCUGCUGCAGGAAGGAAUGGGAUGGCACACAUGAGUACGGGCCCAGACACAGGAGGUAAUUGCUGUGCUGGGCUCAGCCCUCGGCGGGGCUGUGUGCCAGCAGCUCUCCCCCCAGGGCCGUGGCAGCCAAAGCUGGAGGAGGUUUUUUCCCACCCCCUGAGAAACAGGACUUGAGGAUCACCAUGCCUCCCACUGCAGCUGCUCCCAUAGCUGGCCCUGAGUGCCCAGAGGCCCAAGGCAUAGGAACAGCUCCAAGCAGGAGCCCUGCCACAGCCUGCCCUGGCACACCAUGGGAAUGAUUCUUAUCUUUGUUUACUCCUAGAUGGGAUUGCUGGGAAGGCUCCGCCCUUAGCCUGGCUGUAUGAAGGUUUCAAGCCCUCUGGGCCACCCCCAGGUAUGUUCUUGUUAGAGUCUGAGAUACAGAGUGUGUGCCCUUGUUUCUAAUACUUAGUUCUAGGAUCCAGAAAAACACUGAAUCUCAUAUAAUAUGAAAUUCAUGAGCAUGUUUUCAUGUUGAUACAUGAAAACAAAUGUUAAAGUUAGAUAGAAAAUCUAAAAGUGUAAGUGUGUAGAUUAGAAAGUUUUUUAAAAUUACUGGGUGAAAAAGUUAGUUUAGAGAACAGGAGACAAGAUGGAGAAUUUAGGGUUUUGUCUCUUGUCCUUUCUUCUUUCUUCUUCAUGUUCUUCUCCUAGGGGUUUUUGGGUGGUAGUAAGUGAUUGGGUAAAAAAUGCCGCAGUGCAACACACAGCUGUUGGGUCAUUGGGUCACUAAGAAAAAUAAUUUAGUUGGCAUCUGUUAAUUGAGUAAAUGGACAUACAAAAGACCUUGAAAAGAAUCUUUGUUAGCCAUUUUACCCCUGUCUAUAAUAGUGCACAUAACUUCUUGUAUCUUGUAAUGCUGAUAAGAAAAGAAUAAACAACUGAGACAGAACA